AUGAUCUCUUGUAGGCAUUACUACUGUGAGAUUGUUACCUUUCAGCAUUUGUUCUGGACUGCUUGUCUGUGGGGAAGGCACAAAAGCCUGCUGGUUCUGCAUACAUUUUGUUUCUGGUCCAUGGCCCUACUACUCUGGCUCCAAAGCCCAGGAAACUCAAAUGUCGUCACAGACUGCUGUGAGCUGCUCUUUUCCGUACCUUCCUUCACUUUGGGGAGCUGUUUCUUCUGA
rnacentral:lncRNA from 1 species